rnacentral:misc_RNA from 1 species
GUGGGCCAUGAUGUGGACCAUUUUACAUCUCCUGAAGGGAUACCUGGAGUGCCUGAAACAAAUUUCAACAAUCGUCCUAACUCCUUCAAAGUACUCUCUCCAGCUCGUACUUGUGUGGCUUACUAUAGAGUUGAAGAAAAGGAAGGAAAUCACAAUAGUAGUGGGGCUGCAAAUGACGCAUUGACAGCAGUUGUUGUGGCAAAGCUGGGGGAUUUUGAAGAAGGUGUCAAUCAGACAUUCACAGCAGAUACUUUUGCAAAGCAGGAGGAUUUGGAAGAAGUUGUCAAUGAGGCGUCAGCAGCAGAUGCUGUGGCAAUGCAGGAGGAUUUUAAAGCACGGCCUUCUUCGGUUGCCAGUGAUGUUGGUCC